rnacentral:rRNA from 1 species
AUUGAACGCUGGCGGCAGGCCUAACACAUGCAAGUCGAACGAGUGGCGGACGGGUGAGUAAUGUCUGGGAAACUGCCUGAUGGAGGGGGAUAACUACUGGAAACGGUAGCUAAUACCGCAUACCAUCAGAUGUGCCCAGAUGGGAUUAGCUAGUUGGUGGGGUAACGGCUCACCAAGGCGACGAUCCCUAGCUGGUCUGAGAGGAUGACCGGCAAAACUGGAACUAGGCCACGUUCAAGACCCCUACGGAGGGCAGCGGUGGGGAUAAUUGAACAUUGGGCGCAAGCCUGAGGCAGCCAUGCCGCGUGUAUGAAGAGGGCCUUGGGGUGGUAAGGUAUUUUAGGCGGGGGGGCGUUACCCGCAGAAGAAGCACCGGCUAACUCCGUGCCAGCAGCCGCGGUAAUAC